AAAAUCUGGGAAUAUCAAUUCCAGACAAUUCGGGAAUAUCAAUCCCAAAUAAUCCAUGGGUUAUCGAUCCCAGACAAUUCGGGAAUAUUGAUCCCAGACAAUCCCAGGAUAUCAAUCCCAGACAAUUGGGAAUAUCGAUCGCAAACAAUCCUGGGUUAUUGAUCCCAGACAAUUCGGGAAUAUCGAUCCCAAAGAAUCCAUGGGUUAUCGAUCCCAGACAAUUCAGGAUUAUCGAUCCCAGACAAUCCAUGGGUUAUUGAUCCCAGACAAUUCAGGAUUAUCGAUCCCAAAGAAUCCAUGGGUUAUCGAUCCCAGACAAUUCAGGAAUAUCGAUCCCAAAGAAUCCAUGGGUUAUUGAUCCCAGACAAUUCGGGAAUAUUGAUCCCAGGCUCUCCCAGCCGUGUCCGAUCGGGAACUCCGGGAUUUUCCAGGGAACCUCCACGAGCCUUUGCUGAUCCUGGAGGGCCGGGACGGAGCCGGGAUCCGCCUGCGCUGCCUCUCGGAGCGGAACAUUCCCAACAUUCGCCUGCUCUGGAGCGACGGCAACGGCCGCAACCUGUCGGGAAUUCCGGAGCCUCGGGAUUCCGGGAAAGGCGGCAGCUCCGUGCUGCUCCGGCCGGGAGCCGGGAACGCCGCGGCCUGUCGGAUUCUGGAGCCCUGGAGCAGCUCGGACACCGAAUCCGCCGUGGUCAUCGCCGGGAACAGCCGGAUCCUGGCUCGGGAGCGUGAGUGCAAUUCUUUCAUUCAUUAAUUAAUUCAUUAAUUGAAGAAGUGCCGGUCAUUAAUUAAGAUCCCCAAUUAAGGCUUCAGCCGGGAUUUGGGGAGGUUUGAGGAGGGAUUUUGGCCGGAAUUGGAAUUAUUAAUUGAUAUGAAUUUUAUUAUUUAUAAAAUUAAUAUUUAUUUAUGGAUGAAAUAUUAUUCGAUAUAUCUUGAAUUAAAUAUGGAUAUG
rnacentral:lncRNA from 1 species